GCUCUUGUGGCCUAAGUGGUUAUAGCGUCCGUCUCGAAUACGGGAGGUCGCGGGUUCGACCCGGUCUAGCCAUACAAAAGAA